GACGAACGCUGGCGGCGUGCUUAACACAUGCAAGUCGAACGGAAAGGCCCUGCUUUUGUGGGGUGCUCGAAUGGCGAACGGGUGAGUAACACGUGAGUAACCUGCCCUUGACUUUGGGAUAACUUCAGGAAACUGGGGCUAAUACCGGAUAGGCGCUCCUGCUGCCUGGUGGGGGUUGGAAAGUUUCGGCGGUUGGGGAUGGACUCGCGGCUUAUCAGCUUGUUGGUGGGGUAGUGGCUUACCAAGGCUUUGACGGGUAGCCGGCCUGAGAGGGUGACCGGCCACAUUGGGACUGAGAUACGGCCCAGACUCCUACGGGAGGCAGCAGUGGGGACUAUUGCACAAUGGGCGGAAGCCUGAUGCAGCAACGCCGCGUGCGGGAUGACGGCCUUCGGGUUGUAAACCGCUUUCGCCUGUGACGAAGCGUGAGUGACGGUAAUGGGUAAAGAAGCACCGGCUAACUACGUG
rnacentral:rRNA from 1 species